UACGUAGGUGGCGAGCGUUGUCCGGAUUUACUGGGCGUAAAGGGAGCGUAGGCGGACUUUUAAGUGAGAUGUGAAAUACCCGGGCUCAACUUGGGUGCUGCAUUUCAAACUGGAAGUCUAGAGUGCAGGAGAGGAGAAUGGAAUUCCUAGUGUAGCGGUGAAAUGCGUAGAGAUUAGGAAGAGCACCAGUGGCGAAGGCCAUUCUCUGGACUGUAACUGACGCUGAGGCUCGAAAGCGUGGGGAGCAAACAGGAUUAGAUA
rnacentral:rRNA from 1 species